CAGGCGCACACUCCCUCCCCGCCCUUGCAGUGUCCUUUAGUCCUUCGUGAAUAAAUCGAAAUUAAAUGAAGCAAAUGCUUUUUUGAAGGCAAAUUUGGUGCCAAGGACCAUCCUAAGUGAUUCAGAUGGCCUCACAAGGAUUGAGUUAAUAGGCCGGGAGCAGUGGCUCACGCCUGUAAUCCCAGCACGUUGGGGGCCGAGGCGGGCGAAUCACGAGGUCGGAAGAUGGAGAGCAUCCUGGCUAACACGGUGAAACUCCUUCUCUACUAAAAAUACAAAAAAAUUAGCCAGGCGUGGUGGCUCGCGCGUAUAGCCUCAGCUAUUCGGGAGGCUGAGGCAGAACUGCCUGAACCUGGGAGGCAGAGGUUGCAGUGAGCCGAGAUCGCUCCACUGCACUCCAGCCCGGGCGACAGAGCAAGACUCCGUCUCAAAAAAAAAAAAAAAAAAAAUUGAGUAAAUAAAUAAAUGGCAGAACCCAGAUUCUUUUUUUCUUUUCUUUUUUCUUUGAGACAGGGUCUGACUCUGUCGCUCAGGCGCAGUGGCGCAAUCUCGGCUUGCUGUAACCUCUGCCUCCUGUGUUCAAGCGAUUCUCC
rnacentral:lncRNA from 1 species